rnacentral:rRNA from 1 species
CCUACGGGAGGCUGCAGUGAGGAAUAUUGGUCAAUGGGCGCGAGCCUGAACCAGCCAAGUAGCGUGAAGGAUGACUGCCCUACGGGUUGUAAACUUCUUUUAUAAAGGAAUAAAGUGAGGCACGUGUGCCUUUUUGUAUGUACUUUAUGAAUAAGGAUCGGCUAACUCCGUGCCAGCAGCCGCGGUAAUACGGAGGAUCCGAGCGUUAUCCGGAUUUAUUGGGUUUAAAGGGAGCGUAGAUGGGUUGUUAAGUCAGUUGUGAAAGUUUGCGGCUCAACCGUAAAAUUGCAAUUGAUACUGGCAGUCUUGAGUACAGUUGAGGUAGGCGGAAUUCGUGGUGUAGCGGUGAAAUGCUUAGAUAUACGGAGGAACACCAGUGGCGAAGGCGGAUUGCUGGACAGUAACUGACGCUGAGGCGCGAAAGCGUGGGGAGCAAACAGGAUUAGAUACCCGUGUAGUC